GAUGAACGCUAGCGGGAGGCCUAACACAUGCAAGCCGAGCGGUAGAGUUUCUUCGGAAACUUGAGAGCGGCGCACGGGUGCGUAACACGUGUGCAACCUACCUUUAUCUGGGGGAUAGCCUUUCGAAAGGAAGAUUAAUACCCCAUAAUAUAAUGAUUGGCAUCAAUUAUUAUUGAAAACUCCGGUGGAUAGAGAUGAGCACGCGCAAGAUUAGAUAGUUGGUGAGGUAACGGCUCACCAAGUCAAUGAUCUUUAGGGGUCCUGAGAGGGAGAUCCCCCACACUGGUACUGAGACACGGACCAGACUCCUACGGGAGGCAGCAGUGAGGAAUAUUGAACAAUGGGUGAGAGCCUGAUCCAGCCAUCCCGCGUGAAGGAUGACGGUCCUAUGGAUUGUAAACUUCUUUUGUACAGGGAUAAACCUACCCUCGUGAGGGUAGCUGAAGGUACUGUACGAAUAAGCACCGGCUAACUCCGUG
rnacentral:rRNA from 1 species